rnacentral:rRNA from 1 species
UACGUAGGGGGCAAACGUUGUCCGGAAUCAUUGGGCGUAAAGCGCGUGUAGGCGGCCCGGUACGUCCGCUGUGAAAGUCGGGGGCUCAACCCUCGAAUGCCGGUGGAUACUGUCGGGCUAGAGUGCGGAAGAGGCGAGUGGAAUUCCUGGUGUAGCGGUGAAAUGCGUAGAUAUCUGGAGGAACACCGGUGGCGAAGGCGGCGUCCUGGACCAACACUGACAUUGAGGAGCGAAAGCCAGGGGAGCAAACGGG